AUCAAUUUCCAUUCCACGUCUCCAAACAAUCUCCAAUUAAUUUUCCAAUUUCCCUUCUCCACUCCACUCCGUUCUCUCCCAACCCAGUGCAUUAUCCCUGAAAUCUUACAAAAUCAGCGAUCGGCAACGACCGAGCGAGUGGCGACCGACUAAGAGGAACAAACGAGACUGUGCUAUGAUAAUCAAGAUGAGGAACGAUCGACGGACGAUGAGGAGACACGAAAUCCGACUGACGGAGACCAGGCGACGAACUGAGAGGCCGACCGACCAACCGACGACGACGAGAACAAUAUCUGCCCGAGAAUCGAACAGAAAUUGUGAUGAAUGAUAGCAUUCAAAAUGUGCCGCAGAGCUGAAAGAUUCAAUCAUGGUCCUGUUAAGCGUACAAAAUUGAAUCAGACUCUCAUUUCCUCAUGGAAGAAGGGCGGUACAAUGUUCAUAUUUGAUACAGUAAUGCUUCAGUCAUUUCUUCAUUUGCUUUAUGUAGUUAUUUUUGCAUUGUUUAUCUCUCUUCACAAUUUGUAGGUACUUGAAGAUACAAGUCAAGCAUGAAACACUAGAUAUACAUGGAUUCUUAUGUUACUUGUAACAAUAUUUAAUUUUUGCUGUAGAGAGAGAUUAUCAUAAUAGGAAAUUUAACUUGGGAAUAUUGAUUGUGCUUUAAAAUACUACAAUGAUGUUUACUAUAGGUGAUGUGUCUUUUCCA